AUUUGUGGGGAGGGUGAGGAAUCACUUACAAGAAAACUUGGAGCCUGUAUCAGCUUUUGAGGAAGGCAUACUGCCUUCCUCAAACAGGUGCAUUUCCACGACUGCAGAGGGUGUAUUUCUCUAAUAUCCUUACCACUUGUCUGCCUUAUAAAUGUUAUGCAGGAACAACAGCUGACCUGUAGUUUGAACAGAAAUUUGAGAAAACUUUGGCAGCCAGCCCGCAUAGCUGCAAUGAAGAAAACCUGAAGCACAGACACAGGAAAAGGGAUG
rnacentral:lncRNA from 1 species